AUACGUAGGGGGCGAGCGUUGUCCGGAAUUAUUGGGCGUAAAGCGCGCGCAGGCGGUCCCUUAGGUCUGAUGUGAAAGCCCACGGCUCAACCGUGGAGGGUCAUUGGAAACUGGGGGGCUUGAGUGCAGAAGAGGAGAGCGGAAUUCCACGUGUAGCGGUGAAAUGCGUAGAGAUGUGGAGGAACACCAGUGGCGAAGGCAGCUCUCUGGUCUGUAACUGACGCUGAGGCGCGAAAGCGUGGGGAGCAAACAGGAUUAGAUACCCUGGUAGUCCACGCCGUAAACGAUGAGUGCUAAGUGUUAGAGGGGUUAAACCCUUUAGUGCUGUAGCUAACGCGUUAAGCACUCCGCCUGGGGAGUACGGCCGCAAGGCUGAA
rnacentral:rRNA from 1 species